rnacentral:rRNA from 1 species
AGCAGCCGCGGUAAUUCCAGCUCCAAUAGCGUAUAUUAAAGUUGUUGCAGUUAAAAAGCUCGUAGUUGAAUUUCGGGAUCAAGUCGUCGGUCGUGCUCAGGUACGUACUGGCGUCAUUGAUUUCUCCCUUCUGACGAACCAUGAUGUUAUUAAUUUGGUGUUAUGGGAAAUCAGGACUGUUACUUUGAAAAAAUUAGGUGUUUAAAGCAGGCUCACGCUUGAAUACAUUAGCAUGGAAUAAUGAAAUAGGACGUUCGAUCCUAUUUUGUUGGUUUUAGGAUCAACGUAAUGAUUAAUAGGGAUAGUUGGGGGCAUUAGUAUUCAAUUGUCAGAGGUGAAAUUCUUGGAUUUAUUGAAGACUAACUACUGCGAAAGCAUUUGCCAAGGAUGUUUUCAUUAAUCAAGAACGAAAGUUAGGGGAUCGAAGACGAUCAGAUACCGUCGUAGUCUUAACCAUAAACUAUGCCGACUAGGGAUCGGAUGAUGUUAAUUUUUUUAAUGACUCAUUCGGCGCCUUACG